UGCAGCAGAAGUUUCUCAUACCAGAAAAUUCAGCACUGAAAGUCACAGAUGAGCAGGGUAUAGAGGUGGAUGAGGAUGUCUUUCCUGAACUUGCAGCAGUCAAAGAGACAUCCUGGAAACACAAUCAUCCAAGAAGCUGCGUGACUGCUCAGACCUAACACACUAUGUGACACUCACACCUUGUGAUUUGACUGUCCUGAAGCAACAUGUGGAAGAGCCCUCCUCUCCAAAUCUAACAGAUACAUUGUCUGUCUCAACCACCAGCAGUCAGAGCAGUGACACAAGUGAUGCCGGACUUCAAAUGGUUCAGCCUCUAUUGGACAGCAUACAUGAAAGAAAUGUAAAUGAAACCAUUCCUAAGAACAUACUGGUCCUAGAAAGGGAGAAAGCCUAUCUGACCACACAAUGUCUCAACUGUUUAGCUGCCAAUAAUGGUGGAUGUUAUGCUAUUACAGUACUGUUACACAGAAUGUAUGUUAAUCCAUGCAGCAUUCAUAUUUGAAUAUGUUAUUUUUGAUAAAUAAAAUUCAUACAUUCAUAA
ensembl:lncRNA